CACACACAGACACACACACACACAGAGUGAAAAAGGCGAGCCACCAAAACCCAUCUCCAGUCUCCUCCCGGGGGCCCCCAGCCCGCCUCUGUGCCACUUUGCAUCCCACGCCGGAGGAGGCAUUAACGAGACCGGGUAAGGCUUUUUAACCAGUCCAAGGUGUAGAGACAUACUUCAGGAGGAUCCUCAGAAGUUUUGGACAAGCCUCCCCCAAUGUGGCAGGUGCCGUGCUGGCCAUUGGUGACCCAAAGAUGAUGAAAAAUAUGUUCCUGCCCACGAGGAGUUAGCGACCUACUGGGCUUUCCUCUUGCUGAUGACAUGAUUCGUGUUUGAAUCUGUUGACAAGAUUCUGAAAGCCGAACAGAGAUUUCUGGCACUGCACUGGGUAGGAAAAAGG